rnacentral:rRNA from 1 species
CCAAGACUAUGAUGUGUAGCCGGGCUGAGAGGUUGAACGGCCACAUUGGGACUGAGACACGGCCCAAACUCCUACGGGAGGCAGCAGUAGGGAAUUUUCGGCAAUGGAGGAAACUCUGACCGAGCAACGCCGCGUGAACGAUGAAGUAUUUCGGUACGUAAAGUUCUUUUAUUAGGGAAGAAUAAAUGAUGGAAAAAUCAUUCUGACGGUACCUAAUGAAUAAGCCCCGGCUAACUAUGUGCCAGCAGCCGCGGUAAUACAUAGGGGGCAAGCGUUAUCCGGAAUUAUUGGGCGUAAAGGGUGCGUAGGCGGUUAAAUAAGUUUAUGGUCUAAGUGCAAUGCUUAACAUUGUGAUGCUAUAAAAACUGUUUAGCUAGAGUAAGAUAGAGGCAAGUGGAAUUCCAUGUGUAGUGGUAAAAUGCGUAAAUAUAUGGAGGAACACCAGUAGCGAAGGCGGCUUGCUGGGUCUUUACUGACGCUGAGGCACGAAAGCGUGGGGAGCAAACAGGAUUAGAUACCCUGGUAGUCCACGCCGUAAACGAUGAGUACUAAAUGUUGGGUAAAACCAGUGUUGAAGUUAACACAUUAAGUACUCCGCCUGAGUAGUACGUACGCAAGUAUGAAACUUAAAGGAAUUGACGGGACUCCGCACAAGCGGUGGAUCAUGUUGUUUAAUUCGAAGGUACCCGAAAAACCUCACCAGGUCUUGACAUGCUUCUGCAAAGCUGUAGAAACACAGUGGAGGUUAUCAGUUGCACAGGUGGUGCAUGGUUGUCGUCAGCUCGUGUCGUGAGAUGUUGGGUUAAGUCCCGCAACGAGCGCAACCCUUAUUGUUAGUUGCCAGCACGUAAUGGUGGGGACUUUAGCAAGACUGCCAGUGAUAAAUUGGAGGAAGGUGGGGACGACGUCAAAUCAUCAUGCCCCUUAUGACCUGGGCUACAAACGUGAUACAAUGGCUGUUACAAAGGG